rnacentral:rRNA from 1 species
UAGUCUGGGGAUCUGCCUGAUGGCGGGGGAUAACUACUGGAAACGGUAGCUAAUAUCGCAUAAUGUCUGCGGACCAAAGCGGGGGACCUCCGGGCCUCGCGCCAUCAGAUGAACCCAUAUGGGAUUAGCUAGUAGGUGGGGUAACGGCUCACCUAGGCGACGAUCCCUAGCUGGUCUGAGAGGAUGAUCAGCCACACUGGGACUGAGACACGGCCCAG